rnacentral:rRNA from 1 species
UUUUAUUUUGUCGUGUUUUGUUUGAUGCAAUUGAACGAGAUCUUCGGAUCUAGCGGCGGACGGGUGAGUAACGCGUGGGAACGUGCCCUUUGCUACGGAAUAGUCCCGGGAAACUGGGUUUAAUACCGUAUACGCCCUUUGGGGGAAAGAUUUAUCGGCAAAGGAUCGGCCCGCGUUGGAUUAGGUAGUUGGUGGGGUAAUGGCCUACCAAGCCGACGAUCCAUAGCUGGUUUGAGAGGAUGAUCAGCCACACUGGGACUGAGACACGGCCCAGACUCCUACGGGAGGCAGCAGUGGGGAAUCUUAGACAAUGGGGGCAACCCUGAUCUAGCCAUGCCGCGUGAGUGAUGAAGGCCUUAGGGUUGUAAAGCUCUUUCAGCUGGGAAGAUAAUGACGGUACCAGCAGAAGAAGCCCCGGCUAACUCCGUGCCAGCAGCCGCGGUAAUACGGAGGGGGCUAGCGUUGUUCGGAAUUACUGGGCGUAAAGCGCACGUAGGCGGAUCGGAAAGUUGGGGGUGAAAUCCCGGGGCUCAACCUCGGAACUGCCUCCAAAACUAUCGGUCUUGAGUUCGAGAGAGGUGAGUGGAAUUCCGAGUGUAGAGGUGAAAUUCGUAGAUAUUCGGAGGAACACCAGUGGCGAAGGCGGCUCACUGGCUCGAUACUGACGCU